rnacentral:rRNA from 1 species
AGUUGUAAUUUGUAGAGGAAGCUUUUGGUGCGGCACCUACUGAGUCCCCUGGAACGGGGCGCCAUAGAGGGUGAGAGCCCCGUAUAGUAGGACGCCUAUCCUUUGUAAAGCUCCUUCGACGAGUCGAGUAGUUUGGGAAUGCUGCUCAAAAUGGGAGGUAAAUUUCUUCUAAAGCUAAAUAUUGGCCAGAGACCGAUAGCGCACAAGUAGAGUGAUCGAAAGAUGAAAAGCACUUUGAAAAGAGGGUUAAACAGCACGUGAAAUUGUUGAAAGGGAAGCGCUUGUGACCAGACAUGCGGCGGGCUGAUCAUCCGGUGUUCUCACCGGUGCACUCUGCCCGCCUCAGGCCAGCAUCGGUUCUCGCGGGGGGAUAAAGGCCUUGGGAACGUAGCUCCUCCGGGAGUGUUAUAGCCCAGGGUGCAAUGCCCUCG